rnacentral:lncRNA from 1 species
AGAAAGGCCAGAGGUUUGUGAGUUCAAGGGGGAACAAAAAAUUCUGCACUGCUUUGCUGUGCAGUGCUGUUCUGAAGUUAAUGUGAUUGUUGCCAUCAGGGAAGGAACAGAAUGUGGAUGUCAGAGCCUUUGCCAAAAGCCAACGGCAUUCUCAGAGACCCAGUGACACAAGGCCGGGAAUAUGUAUUUGUCAACUGCUGCGUCCUGACACUAGAACCUACUUGGCACACGUUGUGCAUUCAGAAUAGUUUAAUGACUUUGUUUAUAAGCUGCCCUUAAUGUCAACAUUCUGAAAUCCAUCAACGUCACCAGCAUUUUCUCAUGAAGGAGAAAAUGCCUCCAGGCUUACACAGAGUCUUCAACUGACA